UGUAGGAGGGUCACUGACAAAGGGCAACAAAAAUCCAAUAAAAAAAAUGCCCACUGAAAUGCCAGUCCCAUAAAAGAGUCAAAGCAGUAGUCAAAAAUUGAUGUAUAAGUGUCUUGAAACCUCCCUCUUGAAGGAAUUCAAGUCAUAGGAAGGUGGAAAUACAGAAGCAGACAGGGAGUUCCAGAGUUUACCAGAGAAAGGGAUGAAUGAUUGAGAAUACUGGUUAACUCUUGUGUUAGAGAGGUGGACAGAAUAGGGGUGAGAGAAAGCGAGGCCGCGGGAGGAGGGGAGGCAUGCAGUUAGCAAGAUCAGAAGAGCAGUUAGCAUGAAAAUAGCGAUAGAAGACAGCUAGAGAUGCAACAUUGCGUCGGUGAGAGAGAGGCAGAAGACAGUUCGAGGAGAGGAGUUGAUGAGAGUUGCUUAGUCUUCAUUUAUUCUUUAUUUUGUGUUGGCAUAUAUAUAAUCGUUUAGUCUUUUAUUUUGGAGAUUAAUUUUUCCUUGUGUGUUUACUGUGUUGGCAAAUGUCUUCCCCUUUACAAGUUUACUCCUUGUAGUAGGUCAGUUGAAAGUGGAGCAUUUUGAUUCCUAAUACUUGACUCACCUUACUCAUCAUCAAGCUGUGUCCUGUAUUUUGUGUACAAGCUUCCAUAUCUUUGAGUUGUGCAUCUAAUACAUUCACAAUUCAUUUGUACAUGUUGAGCCUCACUACAUUCACGCAGGGCGGAACAAAAUGAAGCCUGUCCGUUUUAUUUGUUCGUUCUUUAUUGUGGGCACUGUACAAGAUGCAGCGUUUGUACAUGUAAUGUUGUGUGUGUGUGUGUGUGUGUGAGGGGGACAGUUAUUGGUGAGGGGCUGCGGGGAGUCACUGUGGGUUCGUAAACAUACUGUGGGCUGUGGUGAGGUGAGAGAGAGAGAGAGAGAGAGAAGCAGGCUUGCAUGAGUGUGAAGUGAAACAGGUGUUGUUGACUGUUACUGCCAAGCGGGUGAAAGUUGUUGUGCAAGCGAGUUUGUUAAUGAGGAAGGAAAGGACCUGGAGGUCAGGGCGAGGACCAAAACGAGGCAUAAGUCAGCGAAUUUCUUGUACGGUCGGUGUUGAGGUAGUGUUGAUGUAAGAUGAAGGAUGCUUGUUAUGACGAGGCUAAGAUGAGGCCGGCCUUAUCGCCAUCGCUAAUGGAUAACGAUGGACAGGGCAGGAACCCAAGCAGUAACUGAGGAGUGAGGACGAUAGGGACACUUUGCUGAGGACACUCGUCCAGGUAGGACGUGUGUCGGUGCAGAGACAGAAGUAGAUAGACCUACCUAGAGGACCUGUCAGAAAGGGCGUGCGCGUUACUUAACGAUUUCCCCAAGACCCAAACACGUUUUGACCGAAUUCAAGCGGAUCCAACCGGAUUCAGUCGGAUACAAUAAAUGAUUCGUGUCAUCGUGUGGGUCUGAAAUAACCUUCGCCGCCGUGUAAGCGCCGUCACGUCUAUAAGGGAUCAGGAUGACAAACGACCCAGUCGUUUACUCGCUUUAAUGCGGUUAACCUGUAGUGACAAUUAAUUUGACAUCAGCACGAGUAUUGAAAUACAAUAAAGCAUGUAGAAAUGUUGUUAAUCUGUCACUAGAAACGUAAAAAUACCCUUGGAAACCUGUGCAACUACUGAGAGAGAGAGAGAGAGAGAGAGAGAGAGAGAGAGACUAGAAAUAACAUUCACACACACAUACACACACCAGUGAAUUUAUAAACCUUCAAAUUUCCCGCACUUUUUAAAUUCUUAGGAAGGAGAGAGCGCGAGAGGCAAGACGAGAUUAUCUUACAAAGCCCCACGUUUUCCCAAAGAGCUAAGGAUACCAUACGGAGGGAGUUGAAGGAGCCUGAAGGAGGGGCAGUGAAGGAGGGAAGCCUGGAGGUGAAGGAAAUGCAGAAAAUUCCUUUAAUAUUGAACGCUUCUCUCCUCAGACUAUCCUUCACGGAAUAUAUACAACGAGGUUUCAAGAUGCGUGGUGAGAAUCUUUUUUUUUUUUUUUUUUUUUUUUUUUUUUUGUGUGUGUGUGUUUUAAGGCAGUUUUAAGUAUUUUUAGAUUUUUCACGUUUUAAGUAUUUUACGUUUGUAGGAGGAGGGAGAAAACUUAUAUUUAGUACUAAAUCCGAAAAUAUUAAUAAUAAUAAUAAUAAUAAUAAUAAUAAUAAUAAUAAUAAUAAUAAUAAUAAUAAAGACAGUCUCAGCCAGGGCAAAUAUUGUAAAGGCAGCGCAGCAAGGGAAACUGAGGUAAAUCUUGUCUUCUUGGCAUUUAUCUGUUAUGCCUCCUCUUCCUCUUCCAUUUCUCCUUAUUUCUUCCUCCACCUUCUCCAUUUCUCUUAUUUUCUUCCUUCUACUACUAUCUACACAUCUGAGUUUGGAAACAGCUGGAAACACCUGGAAAACAAUGGAAAUUACGGUAAAUAUUGACGGACAGACGCUGAAGCAGAACGAGUCCUGGAUCCUUGAUUACAUCACAGGCGAGCUGCCGCCAGCCCGCUGGCUUACGUACGUAACGUAUUUCAUUCUGAAAUUGACCACUAGAAAAACUGAAGCUAGGCUCAAAUGCAUUAUAUAUUCUGACUUGGCAAUUAGUUUCAUUAAUAUUCACAAUAUCAAAACAUCCCCAGCCAGAGUAGUUGUAAAAAAAUAUUAUAUGAAAUAUGGAAAAAGUGCUGUAUCUUUUGACACCAUUAAAAACACUGGAAAGUCCACUCAUUUCACUUUACAACGGCAAAACAAUUUUUUAAAAUCUUAACUAUCUUUUUGAAAUAUUGUAAAGCUAGUUACAAGUUGAAAUAAAGAAAUAAAGAAUCUAAAAAAUCACAAAAUCACCACUUUUAACGGGAUUAAAAACUAUUUAAAAGUCCACAUACUUAACUGAACAUGAACGCAAAACACUUCGAAUAUCAUAAACGAUUUUUUGAAGUAAUAAAAGCUUCAUUAAUACCUCAAAUAAAAAAAAAACCCAAAUUGGGUAAAAAUCACUGUCAAAACCGUUUUUUAUUUACACAAAAACACCAAAUUCACCACAUUUACUUAAAUAAGCCAAGAAAAACAUUUCAAAAGCAACGAAAUUUUUUUAGAAACAAUGAAAACUUAUUAUAGAAGCCAAAUAAAGUUUUUCAGAAAAAAAAAAAAAAAAGGAACCAACAAGGCAGCAAUCCAUCAUGGCGGCCGUCGGCGGCAACCUCAGUGGAGAAGCCGACGGCCAUGUUGCCUUAAUUCAUGACACCAAAAGCAGGCAAUGGCGGAUAUAUCUGACCAGCGGAAAUGAAGGCUAGAUAUGUGGCUCCAUCUUGUAACAUGUUCGGCUUACAGUAAGUGAGAGACGAAGCAAAUAAUGGCUGAUAACACAGACCUCUCUACCUCAGCUGACAGCUUGUUUACAUACUGACCAACAUUCAAUAUUUAGCUAAAUUUCCAACUGUUUCCAGACUCAGACGUAAACAAAACCUAAAGAUAAAUAAAUAACCCCCAAAA